rnacentral:rRNA from 1 species
UACGUAGGGGGCAAGCGUUGUCCGGAUUUAUUGGGCGUAAAGAGCGUGUAGGCGGCCAGCUAGGUCCGCUGUGAAAACUCGAGGCUCAACCUCGAGACGCCGGUUGAAACCAUCUGGCUAGAGUCCGGAAGAGGAGAGUGGAAUUCCGAGUGUAGAGGUGAAAUUCGUAGAUAUUCGGAAGAACACCAGUGGCGAAGGCGACUCGCUGGACAAGUAUUGACGCUGAGGUGCGAAAGCGUGGGGAGCAAACAGG